GAUCUUGCGACAAUGGGCGAAAGCCUGACGCAGCAACGCCGCGUGCGGGAGGACGGCCUUCGGGUUGUAAACCGCUUUUCGGGGGGAAGAGGAAGGACGGUACCCCCGGAAGAAGUCUCGGCUAACUACGUGCCAGCAGCCGCGGUAAAACGUAGGAGGCGAGCGUUAUCCGGAUUUACUGGGCGUAAAGCGCAUGCAGGCGGCCGCACAAGUUGGAUGUGAAAUCUCCCGGCUCAACUGGGAGGGGACGUUCAAAACUGUGCGGCUCGAGGGCGGUAGAGGAAGGUAGAAUUCCCGGUGUAGUGGUGAAAUGCGUAGAUAUCGGGAGGAAUACCCGUGGCGAAGGCGACCUUCUGGACCGUUUCUGACGCUCAGAUGCGAAAGCUAGGGGAGCGAACGGG
rnacentral:rRNA from 1 species